AUUGAACGCUAGCGGCAUGCUUAACACAUGCAAGUCGAACGGUAACAGGCCUAGCUUGCUAGGUGCUGACGAGUGGCGGACGGGAGAGUAAUGCGUAAGCAUCUACCUUGUAGUGGGGGAUAACUUGGGGAAACCCAAGCUAAUACCGCAUACGUGCUACGGGAGAAGGUGGGGGCCCCUCGGGCCUCACUCUAAAAGAUGAGCCAAGGUCGGAUUAGCUAGUUGGUGGGGUAAAGGCCCACCAAGGCGACGAUCCGUAACUGGUCUGAGAGGAUGAUCAGUCACACUGGAACUGAGACACGGUCCAGACUCCUACGGGAGGCAGCAGUGGGGAAUAUUGGACAAUGGGCGAAAGCCUGAUCCAGCCAUGCCGCGUGUGUGAAGAAGGUCUUCGGAUUGUAAAGCACUUUAAGUUGGGAGGAAGGGCGCUCGGUGAAUACCCAGGCGUCUUGACGUUACCGACAGAAUAAGCACCGGCUAACUUCGUGCCAGCAGCCGCGGUAACAC
rnacentral:rRNA from 1 species